AGUGUGGAGAUUAUUAUAAUUUAGGAGAUCUUAGUUCAAAGUAUUAGAACAAAUUAUCUUAAAAAUAUAGUUAAUAGUCAAAGGAGUAGAAAAAUUAAAAGAUAUCAAUGCUGCCUUUUAGAAAGGGGACUUCUAUUUAUUUUGUAGUACCAUAAGUAAGGAAAAUCAAAGUAGAUUGGAAAAAUAAAUAAUAUAGGCAUCUUAAGAAGGAAGUUAAAAGUAAAUUCUAGAAAAAAGUUACUUAGAAAAACUAGAUAUUGAUACCCGGAGAG
rnacentral:lncRNA from 1 species